UACGGAGGACCCGAGCGUUAUCCGGAUUCAUUGGGUUUAAAGGGUGCGCAGGCGGCCCGGUCAGUCAGCGGUGAAAUGCCCGCGCUUCACGCGGGAGCUGCCGUUGAUACUGCCGGGCUAGAAUCUCAGCGAGGCGGGCGGAAUGCGCGGUGUAGCGGUGAAAUGCAUAGAUAUCGCGCAGAACGCCGAUUGGGGAGCCAGCUCGCCAGCUGGGUAUUGACGCUGAGGCACGAAAGCGUGGGGAUCGAACAGG
rnacentral:rRNA from 2 species